UACGGGGGGAGCAAGCGUUGUUCGGAUUUACUGGGCGUAAAGGGCGCGUAGGCGGCCAGCACAAGUCAGUUGUGAAAUCUCCGAGCUUAACUCGGAAAGGUCAACUGAUACUGUGCGGCUAGAGUGCGGAAGGGGCAACUGGAAUUCUCGGUGUAGCGGUGAAAUGCGUAAAUAUCGAGAGGAACACCUGCGGCGAAGGCGGGUUGCUGGGCUGAUACUGACGCUGAGGCGCGAAAGCCAGGGGAGCGAACGGG
rnacentral:rRNA from 1 species